rnacentral:misc_RNA from 1 species
AGGCAUUGAUGAUUCCACCUCAGCAUAUGCUCGUGGAGGAGGCCUUGAUAUCGUGGGGCAGAGGCUUUCCAAACUUGCUAAAACUUUCAAGGUUCCUUUUGAGUUUCAUCCUGCUGCCAUGUCGGGUUCUGAUAUUCAGCUAAAAAACCUUGGAAUUCAACCUGGAGAAGCACUAGCAGUAAAUUUUGCUUUCACAUUACAUCACAUGCCAGAUGAAAGUGUGAGCACUGAAAAUCAUCGGGAUAGACUAUUACGGAUGGUCAAAAACCUCAACCCCAAGGUGGUUACCCUUGUUGAGCAAGAAUCUAAUACAAAUACUGCUGCUUUCUUUCCUCGAUUUCUUGAAACCUUGGAUUAUUAUUCAGCCAUGUUUGAAUCAAUCGAUAUGACUCUUCCAAGGGGACACAAGGAGCGCAUCAAUGUUGAGCAGCAUUGUUUGGCGAGGGACGUUGUUAACAUCAUAGCAUGUGAAGGGAUUGAAAGGGUAGAACGACAUGAACUUCUUGGUAAGUGGAAGUCGCGGUUUAGAAUGGCUGGUUUUAACCCAUACCCAUUGAGUUCAUUGGUGAACGCUACGAUCAAGACAUUGCUAGAGAGCU